UACGUAGGGUGCGAGCGUUAAUCGGAAUUACUGGGCGUAAAGCGUGCGCAGGCGGUGAUGUAAGACAGGUGUGAAAUCCCCGGGCUCAACCUGGGAACUGCAUUUGUGACUGUAGAGCUGGAGUGCGGCAGAGGGGGAUGGAAUUCCGCGUGUAGCAGUGAAAUGCGUAGAUAUGCGGAGGAACACCGAUGGCGAAGGCAAUCCCCUGGGCCUGCACUGACGCUCAUGCACGAAAGCGUGGGGAGCAAACAGG
rnacentral:rRNA from 1 species